rnacentral:rRNA from 1 species
GACAGAGGAGCCAAGCGUUGUCCGGAUUGACUGGGCGUAAAGCGCACGCAGGCGGUCGCGCGCGUGGGGUGUGAAAUCUGGCCGCUUAACGGCCAGGCGCCAUCCCAUACGGCGCGACUGGAGUGAUGCAGAGGUCGAUGGAAUUGCCGGUGUAGUGGUGAAAUGCGUAGAGAUCGGCAGGAACACCCAGGGGGAAACCAGUCGACCGGGCAUCUACUGACGCUGAGGUGCGAGAGCGUGGGGAGCGAACCGG